ensembl:misc_RNA Metazoa_SRP Metazoan signal recognition particle RNA
GCUGGGCAUGGUGGCGGGUGCCUGUAAUCCCAGCUACUUAGGAGGCUGAGGCAGGAGAAUCACUUGAACCUGGGAGGUGGGCAUUGCAAUAAGCUGAGAUUAUGCCACUGCACUCUAGCCUGGGCAACAGAGUGAGACUCUGUCUCUA